UAAUUGAAGAGUUUGAUCAUGGCUCAGAUUGAACGCUGGCGGCAGGCCUAACACAUGCAAGUCGAGCGGUAGCACAGGAGAGCUUGCUC
rnacentral:rRNA from 1 species